rnacentral:lncRNA from 1 species
GUCCGAUUCUCGACGCCUUUGUAAGAACUGAAUCGUAAUUCGGUUCAAAAAAAAAAAUUUCUUUCAUUUUUUGGUAAAAUAUUAAACGUCAAUAUUUUAUGAUUUUUUAACCAGGAUCACAUUUCGUUUUACCUUUUAACUCUUCCAAUUUCCUUUUCUCUUCAUUCUUUCCUUCUCAAUCCAUGGGUAAUUGAAAUCUAUACUUAGAUAACUUUAUGAAUACUAUAGAAUUUUAUACCAAGAUGCAAACCCUAGAAAAUAUUCUACUGCUCUUCAAUCUUUAGGAAAAAUCAAUUUUAUUGUUUCUUCAAAGUCAGCCGUUCGUCAAAAUUUUUGAAGAUAAUCAGGAAUCUUUGUAUUUUUUUGCAUAAUACCUCAUUCCCGCUAGAUCUGCGAUUUUUACAGUUUGUUCUUUACAAUUUUUUUUUUUAAUUCUUAUUUGUGAGGAUUGGAGUUCAAUUAUUGGUUGUUGGCUUGUUGGGUCUCCAAUUACUGGAUUAAAGGUGCGAAACUAUUAUUUUAUUUUUCAAUUUUAUUACAUGGUUGAUGUUUUGCUUGAGGCAUUGAUUUGUCGGGGAAAAAUACUCUCUUGUUCAUUUUAAACUCUUGGUUGUGUUUGAACCUUGAAUUUUUUAAAAGAAGUUCCAUUUACCAAGUUCUGCACUGGGAGUCAGAAACAUUCACAGCUUGUUUUUUAAAGUAUGCAUCGUUAGACAGAAUUAAGCAGAAACAAAAGCUAUAAUUUAUCACUCGUAGUGUCCACUUGUGUUGAGAACAAUGUACCAAGCAUGCCUCAAUUUGUCCGUUUAGCUUUUGUGACAUUUGAGGUUUAAGUUUAAUCUAUACUACCCGUAUGACUGAUGAAGUCUCUUAUAUACAUUUUUGGAUUAAUUAUAUACAUUUCUGGGUUAAAGUUAAUGUUGACAGUUGUAAUGCCAUGAUUUUUUAUUUUAUGUUAUUUGUAUGUUGUAGAUGAAUAUCGAGAUGGUCGAAGGGAAAAAAAAACCCGAAUAUGAGAUCAUAAAUAUGGUCACAUUUUACUAAGAUACGAGAAGAGGGGGGGGGGGGGGCAAAAUGUAAUUACUGUGGAAAGUUUUAUGCUUGUGAUUCCAAUAAGAUUGGUACUUCUAGCUUGUGGAAACACUUUAGAAACUGUCAACUAUAUAAGAGUACCAGAGUGGAUGAAAGACAAAAAAGUUCUAACUAGACAAUUAAUUGAUACUGAUGGUGGUAAUGCCAAUAUUGCUACUAUGGUGUUUAACAAAGAAGCAUGUAGGAAGUCAAUGGUGAAAAUGAUUAGUGUGGGGGUGUGCCUUACGACAGAUUGUUGGACAUCAAUAUAAAAUAUUAGUUACAUGGUUAUCACUGCCCAUUUUAUUGACAAAAAUUGGGUGUUGCAUAAGAGGAUAUUGAAUUUUUCGGUGGUACCAAACCAUAGAGGGGAAACAAUUGGAAAACUUAUUGAAACAUGUUUGCUUGAUUGGGGAAUAGAAUGUGUGUCCACAAUUACGAUUCUUAAUGCAAGUGCAAAUGAUGGGGCUAUUAUGUAUAGGAAAAAGGUAUUAAAGAAUUGGAAGGUUGAUGGGAUGGUCUUAGGUGGUUGGCUUAUGCAUAUAAGGUGUUGUGCACAUAUAAUGAAUUUAAUUGUAAAUGAUGGGUUGAAAGAGUUUCACAUGGCAAUAGCAACUAUUGGAAAUGUGGUGAAGUAUUUUCGAUCAUCACCUUCGAGAUUAGCAAAAUUCAAGAUUUGUGUAGAAAGGGAGAAAAUUGAAUGCAUAAAAUUGGCUAUGUUAGAUGUACCUACAAGGUGGAAUGCAACAUACUUGAUGUUGGAUAGUGUGUUUAAGUUUGAGAAAGCAUUUGAUCGUAUGGCAGAUGUAGAUGGUUUUUAUUGCAAAUAUUUUGAUAAGCGUGAGAAUGGAAAGGAAAGAGAAGGUCCACCUACAAGCGAUGAUUGGGAAAAAGGUCGGAAGUUUGUUAAGUUUUUGAAAACCUUUUAUGAAAUUACUUUAAAGUUUAGUGCAUCUUUGAGUGUCACCUCGAAUUUAUACUUUAAAGAAGUUUGUAAUAUUCAACAAGUGUUGAAAUCGUUGAGUGAUAGGCAAGAUCCUUUAUUAAGUGAUAUGGCAAUAAACAUGAAGAGUAAAUUUGAUAAGUAUUGGGGCAGUGUCGAGAAAAUGAACAAAAUAUUGAUAAUAGCUAUUGUGCUCGAUCCUCGAUACAUGUUGGAGUUUGUCGGCUAUUGUAUUGGUCGCUUGUAUGAUAAUAACUUGGUUGAAACAACAAAAGAUGAAAUCAAGAGUUUAUUAUAUGAGUUGUAUAAUCAGUAUAAGGGAUGGAAUAGUGCAUCCAAUGAUGAAUGUGGUGGUAAUUGUGAUUUUAACAUUUUAAUGGAGGUUUCUACAGAUGAUGAUUGGGAUGAGUCCAAUAAUUUUGAUUUUGGGUACAAAAAUUUAAAAAGUAACAAUAAUGAUUUGCUAGGAAAAGAUGAGAUUCAGAGAUACCUAAUGGAAUCCAUUGAAGACUCUACUAAUCACAGAUUUGAUAUUUUGACUUGGUGGAAGUUAAAUUGUCCAAGAUAUGCAAUUUUGUCCGAGAUUGCAAGGGAUGUCCUUGCAAUUCCAGUUUCUACAGUUGCUUCAAAGUCAGCGUUUAGUACUGAAGGGCAUGUUUUUUAUUCAUUUAGGAGUUCUUUAACACCUAAAACAGUCGAAGCUUUAAUUUGUACACAAAACUGGCUACGUUCUACACUUCUGGGAGACCGAUUAUAUGGAGUGAGUAUUGAAGAGACAGAGUUUCAUGAAGAAUUGGUCCAAUUGGAAACUAGUAAUUAAAAUAUAUUUUUUUCUAGCUUAUUAUAUUGUAUAUUUAUUUUUGUUUAUGCUUCUUUUAAUUGAGAUUUUCUAAUUUUCAAUGUAAUGUAGAGCUUGUUGGGAAUUGUACCCACAAAAAGAAUUAUUCAAACUCAACAGUUGUGGAACUUGACUAAUGAUCUAAUUGUAAGUAUAGUCAAAAUUAUAUUUUAUAUGUAAUUUCAUACAUGUAAAUUUUUUGUUCAACAUUUGAACUUUAACUUUUGUGCUGUAGAAUCAAUGCAAGGGGGUGGACUCACUCUUUAGAAGGAUUGGUGGAGAUACUUUGAGAAGACAUUGAAGAGUUCUUAAGUUUAAUUUUGUUAUGGUAGAAUGUUAAUUUUAUUGAAAUAUGAGAUUUAGACAUUUAAUUGUUAACUUAUUGCUUUGAAUUUAGACUUCAAGUUGCAUUGUUCACUUGGAAAUUUGCAAUUUGAAAGCAAAUUUAGUGAGAAUUUGCAACUUCAAAGUAGAGUUAAUUGGAAUUCUUGAUUAAUAGCGAGUUUGUUUAAUGGUCAAAGUUCUAUUAAUGAUGUGUAGAACUAUCUUUUUGAUAAUGUUAAUAAAUGUG